AUACACAUCUUAUAACGCUUGUGAUGUCACAACUUGGCCCUAUUUAAUGGCCUUGUCCAUUGCCUUGUAUGCCUUGCCGUCUUAGUCGUCGUCUACCUUUCUCCUAGUUUUUGCACCCAUCAAAAUCCAUUGCCUUCUUCGCAAGAUCCGCGGAGAGAGAAAGCCAUGAGAGGCUCUGAUCAAGUUCCAACGCGGUUGUGCGUGCCUGUUCCUCCUCUCUUAAUUUUAAUCUGUUGUUAGUUUGCUUUGCCGUCAUGGUAGUGAUGGCCGGAUGGAAGAGAGCGUCCUUCAGUCCACUCAGGGGCGGUGCUAGGGUCGAAUUAGCUGCCGACUCAUUCACCCACAUGCCAAGCAACGGCCAUGGAAAGAGCUAGCUUUGCAGAUGAGUGAAUGAAGCGGGAGCUGCUGAACACUGGUAGAGAAACGACCUUCCAUCCAGCUACAAAAGUCUCGAUCGUUUUUUGACCCCGGCUCGCCCCUGGCCACUGACAUGCGAGCCUCCCCGGCUUGCCCCCUGGCCGCCGACGCGCGGGCCCUCCCCGGCCAGGCCCCAGGGCGCUGGCCGCCACGGCGCGCGGGCGGGCGAGAUGGCGAGCGGGGGAUCUUUUGGAUACGAGAAGCGGGUGAAUGUUUCAUUUGUGAGUGAUUCUGUAGUUUGUGAUUUGUUUGUGAAUGAUUCAUUUGCAAUUGUGCUGGUGAAUCCUCCUUGUAUUAUGAAUCAAAUCAAACUCAUGUGUUGUGAAUUAGAUCUUGUGCGGAUUGAUUGGUUGUGUGUUCUCACUUGUGUGAUGGUCAUCUGAGAUGAGCAUAUAUGUUUCUUGCUUCAAUUUGAGAAGUGUUAAUUGUUUUGAUUGUCUCUAUGGUGGAGUUGGAGCUUAAGGAGGUGGUGGAGUUGGAGCUCAAGGAGGUGGUAUGGUGGUCGAGGCGGAGCUAGGGGGCGGCGGCGCGAGCAGGGACGGGGUGCCAGUUUUUUUAUUUAUUUUUGGAACCUUUUAUUACCAACCAGAACUAAAGGAGGUCUUUAAUCCCAGGUGAAUGACUCUGGACUAAAGAGGGGGAUCUUUAGUCCUGAAUGAUUAGUUCUGGUUGGUUUUUUGAGAGACAUGAGGCUUACCAACCGGGGCGAAUGUUUAUAUUUCCACCGGGACUAAAGAGGGGGACCUUUAGUCCCGAAUGAUUAGUCCUGGUUGUUUUUUAAGAGAUAUGAGGCUUACCAACCGGGACUAAAUACUUAUAUUUCCACCAGUGGAAAAAUAGAAAUGUUUUAGGAUUUCUUAUUAGUUAUCGUUAUAAUUUCAAAGAGUUGGAUUAUGAUUAUCUUUUUUUGUAAUAGAAUUAGUGUAAGAAUCUUUGGAUCGGACGACUCUGUUCAGUGUUGUUGCA